AUGGCAGGAAGGGUCCUUAGGUCAGCAAACGAAAGUACGCCGAGCACCAAGAAUCAGGUGAAUGAUCCGGUCAGAGGACGGAGGGAGCCCACACUCUGCGGUGGCCUGGGAGGUCUGUGCAUGGGAGACAUGUCUCGUGCUCACUUCCUCCUGUGGAUGUGUCUCGUACUCACUUCCUCCCGUGGACAUGUCUCGUGCUCACUUCCUCCCGUGUACGUGUCCCGUGCUCACUUCCUCCUGUGGACGUGUCUUAUGCUUCCUCCCGUGGACGUGUCCCAUGCUGACUUCCUCCCAUGGACGUGUCCCGUGCUCACUUCCACCCGUGGAUGUGUCUCAUGCUCACUUCCUCCCGUGGACAUGUCCCGUGCUCACUUCCUCCCGUGGACGUGUCCCAUGCUGACUUCCUCUCAUGGACAUGUCCCGUGCUCACUUCCACCCGUGGACGUGUCUCAUGCCCACUUCCUCCCGUGGACGUGUCCCAUGAUCACUUCCACCCGUGGAUGUGUCUCAUACUCACUUCCUCCCGUGGAUGUGUCUCGUGCUCACUUCCUCCCGUGGACGUGUCGCAUGCCCACUUCCUCCCGUGGACGUGUCGCAUGCCCACUUCCUCCCGUGCAACAGUCCCGUGCUCACUUCCUCCCGUGGACGUGUCAUGUGGACUUGUCCCAUGCUCACUUCCUCCCGUGGACGUGUCUCGUGCUCACUUCCUCCAGUGGACGUGUCUCGUGCUCACUUCCUCCCGUGGACGUGUCCCGUGCUCACUCCUCCCGUGGACGUGUCCCGUGCUCACUUCCUCCUAUGGAUGUGUCGCGUGGACAUGUCUCAUGCUCACUUCCACCCGUGGACGUGUCUCGUGCUCACUUCCUCCUGUGGACGUGUCGCGUGGACAUGUCUCAUGCUCACUUCCUCCCGUGGACAUGUCCCAUACUCACUUCCUCCCAUGGACGUGUCGCGUGGACAUGUCUCGUGCUCACUUCCACCCAUGGACGUGUCCCGUGCUCACUUCCUCCUGUGGACGUGUUGCAUGGACAUGUCUCGUGUUCACUUCCACCCGUGGACAUGUCUCAUGCUCACUCCUCCCGUGGACGUGUCCUGUGCUCACUUCCUCCUGUGGACAUGUCCCAUGCUCACUUUUUCCCAUGGAUGUGUCCCGUGCUCACUUCCACCCGUGGACGUGUCUCAUGCUCACUUCCUCCCGUGGACAUGUCUUGUGCUCACUUCCUCCCGUGGAUGUGUCUUGUGCUCCAUUCCUCCUGUGGGUGGACAUGUCUCAUGCUUCCUCCCGUGGACGUGUCCCGUGCUCACUACUCCCGUGGACGUGUCACAUGGACAUGUCUCAUGCUCACUUCCUCCCGUGGACGUGUCCCGUGGACAUGUCCCAUGCUCACUUCCUCCCGUGGACGUGUCCCGUGGACAUGUCCCAUGCUCACUUUCUCCCAUGGACGUGUCCCGUGGACAUGUCCCAUGCUCACUUUCUCCCAUGGACGUGUCCUGUGCUCACUUCCUCCCGUGGACAUGUCUCAUGCUUCCUCCUGUGGACAUGUCCUGUGCUCACUUCCUCCCGUGGACGUGUCUCGUGCUCACUUCCUCCUGUGGACGUGUCGCGUGGACAUGUCUCAUGCUCACUUCCUCCCGUGGACAUGUCCCAUACUCACUUCCUCCCAUGGACAUGUCGCGUGGACAUGUCUCGUGCUCACUUCCACCCAUGGACGUGUCCCGUGCUCACUUCCUCCUGUGGACGUGUUGCAUGGACAUGUCUCGUGUUCACUUCCACCCGUGGACAUGUCUCAUGCUCACUCCUCCCGUGGACGUGUCCUGUGCUCACUUCCUCCUGUGGACAUGUCCCAUGCUCACUUUUUCCCAUGGAUGUGUCCCGUGCUCACUUCCUCCUGUGGACGUGUUGCAUGGACAUGUCUCGUGUUCACUUCCACCCGUGGAUGUGUCUCAUGCUCACUUCCUCCCGUGGACGUGUCCCGUGCUCACUACUCCCGUGGACGUGUCACAUGGACAUGUCUCAUGCUCACUUCCUCCCGUGGACGUGUCACAUGGACAUGUCUCAUGCUCACUUCCUCCCGUGGACGUGUCCCGUGGACAUGUCCCAUGCUCACUUUCUCCCAUGGACGUGUCCUGUGCUCACUUCCUCCCGUGGACAUGUCUCAUGCUUCCUCCUGUGGACGAGUCCUGUGCUCACUUCCUCUGGUAGAUGUGUCUCGUGCUCAAUUCCUCCCAUGGACAUGUCUCAUGCUUCCUCCUGUGGACAUGUCCUGUGCUCACUUCCUCCCGUGGACGUGUCUUGUGCUUCCUCCCAUGGACGUGUCCUGUGCUUCCUCCCGUGGACAUGUCCUGUGCUCACUUCCUCCCAUGGACCUGUCUUGUGCUUCCUCCCGUGGACGUGUCCCGUGCUCACUUCCUCCGGUGGACGUGUCCCGUACUUACUUCCUCCUGUGGAUGUCUCCGAUGCUCAUUUCUUCCUGUGGCACGGUCCGUAGGAGGUGCUGGUGCUGGUGA
ensembl:lncRNA